rnacentral:rRNA from 1 species
UACGUAGGGUGCGAGCGUUAAUCGGAAUUACUGGGCGUAAAGCGUGCGUAGGCGGUUCUCCAAGUCCGUUGUGAAAGCCCCGGGCUCAACCUGGGAAUGGCAGUGGAAACUAGGGGACUGGAAUCUGGCAGAGGGGGGUGGAAUGCCGCGUGUAGCAGUGAAAUGCGUAGAGAUGCGGCGGAACACCGAUGGCGAAGGCAGCCCCCUGGGCCAAUACUGACGCUCAUGUACGAAAGCGUGGGGAGCAAACAGG